UCCCUAGUGGUUCAGUUGGUAAAGAAUCUGCCUGCAAUGCAGGAGACCCAGGUUCAAUCCCUGGGUUGGGAA
rfam:TPA: Bos taurus chromosome 1, whole genome shotgun sequence.